rnacentral:rRNA from 1 species
GUCUAUGGCCAUACCACCCUGAAUGCGCCCAAUCUUGUCUGAUCUUGGAAGCUAAGCAGGGUCGAGCCUAAUUAGUACUUGGUAUGGGAGACCGCCUGGGAACACCGGGUGCUGUAGACU